AGUCAUAAAACACACAGAGUCAGAUUAGCUAUUAAUUUCUAGAUCUUGGUAAGGAUACCGGAUUUUAUUCUGAGACAGAAUUGUUGAUAAGAUUUGAGUGGAGAUACACUGGAUUCCAUAUGCAAAAGUGAGACUGUAGAAAGGCAAGAAUGCUUGUGAAGAGGGCAGAUAAAAAGAUAUAAUCCAGAGGAGAGAUGCUUCCUGGAACUAAAAGUGAUUGCAGUUACUGUAUAUCUGAUUAAAAUUACUUAUGUUUUUCAUAUUCAUCCCACCACCAUCCAAAGGACACAGAGGAAAUAACAUUAUAAAGAUGGAGGUCACUGCAAUUAUGCACCAUGACUUCAACCAUUAUGGUACAAUUUCACAGUAAAGCAUUCUCUUGUUCCAGGAGAAAGACAUCUCCCUGAUACUACAACACCUUCAGCCUAGAGAAACUUCACAGAAGCAAGAUAAGACUCCACAGAAGAAGCUUUGUGUACUUCUUGGCCAUCACACUACCAUAAAGUAGAGGAGAAAUCAGUUUCUGUCCUACUCUCCCACCUCACUUGCCAAAUAUCUUAAGAGUGAAUUUAUCCAAACCUAAUUUUUUGAUUAUCUUAAUUACUCCCAGAAGAUCAAGCUCUCAAUCAUUUUUGUCCAGAGUCUCAUUACUCUGCUGUUUCAUAUUGUUUAAUCUGACCCAGUUUCCCAACUUCCUUUGCCCUACACUACAUUCUAGAAUUAAUGGUUUAUUUUCUAACAAUAAAAUGUUUUUAUUUUUAAAUUCUUAUAUCCUUCAUGAUUCCUCUGUGUGUUUCUAGUGGAGACUCAAGAUCUGAUGAUUUAUUUAUCCUGUAACACUCUCAACUGGAGAAUAUUUUUUUUCUCUCUUUGAAUCAUAUACUCCAGAGCUUGCAGACCCUGUUUUCCUGCCUCAGUCUGAGGAGGAAGUUUCAUUCCAAAACAUUGCCCCCAGACUCGUGAAAAAAUUGUCUUCCAGGAAGCCUGUCCAUGAUGCCAAAAUGGUUGGGGACCGUUGUUGUACACCAUCCUCGAUGAUAAGGACCCUCUUAGCACCUCUGGUUUUCUUUCAUCCCAGCGGGCUAAUUGUCUUUUAAAUAUCCAAAGAAAAUAG
rnacentral:lncRNA from 10 species